CCUUCGAUAGCUCAGUUGGUAGAGCGGAGGACUGUAGAGGAAUAACGGACAUCCUUAGGUCGCUGGUUCAAAUCCGGCUCGAAGGA
rnacentral:tRNA from 1 species